rnacentral:snRNA from 1 species
GUGCUCAAUUCGGCAGCACAUAUAUUAAAAUUGGAACAAUACAGAGAUUAGCAUGACCCCUGCGCAAGAAUGAUAUGCAAAUUUGUGAAGCAUUCUAUAUUUAA